UUAUAUGUAAAUGCAGAAUUAAAUAGUCCUGUAUUCAUGCAUUCAUUUAAUUAGUGUCGAUUUAAGAUAAUAUCACUAGGCGAGAAUUCAAAGUUUUGUUUUGGCGCUGGAUAUCUAUAGCCAAUUGAAUGAUAGGAUUACUAGAAGCUCUACGUAAUCAUUUGGGAUAUGAUUUAAUCACCUGGCAUAAUUUUGCAUUAAUUUCGUGAUUUCAUGUAAUACUGACUUUCAUAAUCAUUUUUUUUACCUAAAUAACCUAGAUUUAUAUGACUUAGGUGCAAGCAGUUGAGUGUUAGGUGGGAAGAAACCAGUAAUUUAUAGUAGAAUGUAAUGUUUCAACUUACUGAAACUAAUCUGUCAGUGAAUAGAAGAAAAAAGGUCAGAGCUUUUUACUCUAUGUAUGGGUCUAUUAAGUUUAUAUAACUAUCCAAAAGCGGCUCCUCAGCAUUAGAUGGAAAUCCAGAAUUUUUGAUUUGGUAUUCGUCAGGACUGAGGUUUAGUUGAAUGUGUAAAAAUGAAUAUCGGGCUGACAACAACAUGGAAAUUUUUAUCGAAAUUGUUCCACCCAUCAGUUUUUAACAUCAAAGUACACUUCAUUACAAAAUAGCUUAAUUUGCUUUUGAGACCUGUGAGAAAUGGUUUUCCUUCACCCAGUCAUUCAUGGAUACCGUUGGGCCUGAUGGACAGAAUGGCAUGCCGUUGCUUCAUGGACAUGGGAUGCCCAAGAUGAAACUUGUGGCAUUUGUAGGAUGGCUUUUGAUGGUUGUUGCCCUGAUUGCAAACUCCCAGGGGAUGAUUGCCCUCUGAUCUGGGGUGCUUGCAACCAUGCCUUUCAUCUUCACUGCAUCUUGAAGUGGGUGAAUUCGCAAACUCCUCAAGCACAUUGCCCCAUGUGCCGUAGAGAGUGGCAAUUUAAAGGAUGAAAUUCACAUGUACGAGUUGUUCUUGUCUCACUCUCAAAGUCCACUCCCCGUGUUAAAAGAAAAGUAUAUUAAAUGUUUCUUAUGUUCUAAUUUAGACCAAGUCUUAUCAAAUUGUUAACUGUGAAAUAUGCUUCCAUAUUGUGCAAUUUAUUAUGAGAUUUUCUUUUUCA